GCUCGAAAAUGUUAAAGUUCUUAUUUCAUGGUAUAAUUUUGGUAUGCUUGGACCUAGAGUCUUCAAACUUGACAUGAAGGUUGGCCAGGAUUAACAGAUGACCACUGGUCAUUUCAAGGUCAUUCAUUUGAAGGUGAAGGUCACUGUGACCUUCAAUAUAAAAAUGUUAAAGUUGUUAUAACUUUGGUAUGCUUGGACCUAGAGUCUUGAAACUUGACAUGAAGGUUGGCCAGAACUAGUAAGUAACCACUGGACAUUUCAAGGUCAUUCAUUUGAAGGUCAAGGUCACUGUGACCUUGAAUGUAAAAAUGUUAAAGUUGUUAUAACUUUGGUAUGCUUGGACCUAGAGUCUUGAAACUUGACAUGAAGGUUGGCCAGAACUAGUAAGUAACCACUGGACAUUUCAAGGUCAUUCAUUUGAAGGUCAAGGUCACUGUGACCUUGAAUGUAAAAAUGUUAAAGUUCUUAUUUCAUGUUAUAACUUUGGUAUGCUUGUACCUAGAGUCUUCAAACUUGAAAUAAAGAUUGGCCAGUACUAGAAGAUGACCACUGGUCAUUUCAAUGUCAUUCAUUUGAAGGUCAAGGUCACUGUGACCUUAAAUGUUAAAAUGUUAAAAUUGUUAUAACUUUGGUAUGCUUGGACAUAGAGUCUUCAAACUUGACAUGAAGGUUUGCAAGCACACUUAGAUGACCACUGGUCAUUUCAAGGUCAUUCAUUCUAAGGUCAAGGUCACUGUGACCUUGAAUGUAAAAAUGUUAAAGUUCUUAUAACUUUGGUAGGUAAAAAUGUUAAAGUUCUUAUUCCAUGUUAUAACUUUGGUAUGCUUGUACCUAGAGUCUUCAAACUUGACAUAAAGGUUGGCCAGUACUAGAAGAUCACCACUGCUCAUUUCAAUGUCAUUCAUUUGAUUUCUGUGUAGGUAUGUGAAAGCAAAACAAUAAAUAGUAUUAUUUCAUCUAAGUUUAUUUUCUUACAUUUGAUAAUGAAAUUGAUGGAAACUUCAAACAAUAUCUUACUAAUUUGCUAAUAAAAAAAUUGAGAUCAAACUUU